rnacentral:rRNA from 1 species
AUUGAACGCUGGCGGAAGGCCUAACACAUGCAAGUCGAACGAGUGGCGGACGGGUGAGUAAUGUCUGGGAAACUGCCCGAUGAAGGGGGAUAACUACUGGAAACGGUAGCUAAUACCGCAUACCCUCAGAUGUUCCCAGAUGGGAUUAGCUGGUAGGUGGGGUAACGGCUCAACUAGGAGACGAUCCCUAGCUGGUCUGCGAGGAUUACCAGCCACACUGUAACUGUGACACGGUCCAGACUCCUAAGGGAUGCAGCAGUGGGGAAUAUUGCACAAUGGGAGCAAGCCUGCUGCAGCCAUGCCGCGUGUGUGAAGAAGGCCUUCGGUUUGUAAAGCACUUUCAGCGUGGAGGCGUUACCCGCAGAAGAAGCACCGGCUAACUCCGUGCCAGCAGCCGCGGUAAUUC